GACAUGCGCAGUUUCUCUUGUUUUGUUGGCGAAGGACGCUUCGUAAUUCCGGGCAAGAAACUUUCCUCAUAUCACACUUAAUCACAGGUGCCGGGGAAAACCACGAAGAACGUCAAUCAUGUUGCGGCCGAGAUUCCAACCGAGGACCUCUCCAAAACGAGCACUACCGGUAACGUCAACGAUGUUGUUGGCCGUAAGCACAACCGUGCGACGUGUAGAGGACGCAGCUCAAAGCAACCCAAUGAAAUCAGCCUUUCGUCUCUCUUAGCAGUUU